GUACAAUUCAAGUACUGUAAACUUCUAGGAUUUGUAACAGUAUUUGUUGGUAGAAAGGUUACCUAUUAAUUCAAUAUCUACUCAAGAAGAAUGUUUAUAUAUAUAGUAGGCAUACUUUGCGUGAUAUAUACAUCACAAGGUUAUGGUGCCAGGUUGAAAGCGAUAUCAGGUAAACCAAUGUAUGUUGGUGUAGAUGCUGAUGAUUAUAACAACAAUGUAGAUCGUAACUGGUUAAUUGAAGCAGAUGAAGACCAAUUGGUGACGUUUAAUAUAACACAUUUGGAUCUAGAGAAAUGUACUAGCUGUGGAUGUGAUUAUAUUAAGAUAUUUAACGGAAAGAGUAGCAGUGAUCCGUUUAUUGGCAAGUAUUGCGGUAACACGAUACCACCAUCAAUAGUUUCUACGUCCAAGUUCUUAUAUGUUACAUUCCACGCAGACCUUAGUCAAACAAGA